UGCAUUAGCUAGUUGGUAAGGUAAAGGCUUACCAAGGCGAUGAUGCAUAGCCGAGUUGAGAGACUGAUCGGCCACAUUAGGGGACUGAGACACGGCCCAAAACUCCUACGGGAGGCAGCAGUAGGGAAUCUUCCACAAUGGACGCAAGUCUGAUGGAGCAACGCCGCGUGAGUGAAGAAGGUUUUCGGAUCGUAAAGCUCUGUUGUUGGUGAAGAAGGAUAGAGGUAUAACUGGCCUUUAUUUGACGGUAAUCAACCAGAAAGUCACGGCUAACUACGUGCCAGCAGCCGCGGGUAAU
rnacentral:rRNA from 1 species